GGAUUAGUAGUCAAAUGGUAAGACACAGCAUUUUCACUGCUGGGAUUGUGAGUUCGAUCCCCACCUAGUCUA